AUACGGAGGAUGCGAGCGUUAUCCGGAUUUAUUGGGUUUAAAGGGAGCGUAGGUGGGAUAUUAAGUCAGCUGUGAAAGUUUGGGGCUCAACCUUAAAAUUGCAGUUGAUACUGGUUUCCUUGAGUACGGUACAGGUGGGCGGAAUUCGUGGUGUAGCGGUGAAAUGCUUAGAUAUCACGAAGAACUCCGAUCGCGAAGGCAGCUCACCGGGCCGGAACUGACACUGAUGCUCGAAAGUGCGGGUAUCAAACUGGAUUAGAUACCCUGGUAGUCCGCACAGUAAACGAUGAAUACUCGCUGUUUGCGAUACACUGUAAGCGGCCAAGCGAAAGCGUUAAGUAUUCCACCUGGGGAGUACGCCGGCAACGGUGAAACUCAAAUGAAUUGACGGGG
rnacentral:rRNA from 1 species